GUCGAGCGAACAGAUGAGAAGCUUGCUUCUCUGAUGUUAGCGGCGGACGGGUGAGUAACACGUGGGUAACCUACCUAUAAGACUGGGAUAACUCCGGGAAACCGGGGCUAAUACCGGAUAAUAUUUUGAACCGCAUGGUUCAAUAGUGAAAGACGGUUUCGGCUGUCACUUAUAGAUGGACCCGCGCCGUAUUAGCUAGUUGGUAAGGUAACGGCUUACCAAGGCGACGAUACGUAGCCGACCUGAGAGGGUGAUCGGCCACACUGGAACUGAGACACGGUCCAGACUCCUACGGGAGGCAGCAGUAGGGAAUCUUCCGCAAUGGGCGAAAGCCUGACGGAGCAACGCCGCGUGAGUGAUGAAGGUCUUCGGAUCGUAAAACUCUGUUGUUAGGGAAGAACAAAUUUGUUAGUAACUGAACAAGUCUUGACGGUACCUAACCAGAAAGCCACGGCUAACUACGUGCCAGCAGCCGCGGUAAUACGUAGGUGGCAAGCGUUAUCCGGAAUUAUUGGGCGUAAAGCGCGCGUAGGCGGUUUCUUAAGUCUGAUGUGAAAGCCCACGGCUCAACCGUGGAGGGUCAUUGGAAACUGGGAAACUUGAGUGCAGAAGAGGAGAGUGGAAUUCCAUGUGUAGCGGUGAAAUGCGCAGAGAUAUGGAGGAACACCAGUGGCGAAGGCGGCUCUCUGGUCUGUAACUGACGCUGAUGUGCGAAAGCGUGGGGAUCAAACAGGAUUAGAUACCCUGGUAGUCCACGCCGUAAACGAUGAGUGCUAAGUGUUA
rnacentral:rRNA from 2 species